rnacentral:lncRNA from 1 species
UGAGAGAGGUCAGCGUGAGCCCCUUGCCUCACACCGGCCCCUCCCACGCUGAGAGAGGUCAGUGUGAGCCCUUGCCUCACACCGGCCCCUCCCACGCGGACAGAGGUCAGCGUGAGCCCCUUGCCUCACACCGGCCCCUCCCACGCUGAGAGAGGUCAGUGUGAGCCCUUGCCUCACCCCGGCCCCUCCCACGUGGACAGAGGUCAGCGUGAGCCCCUUGUCUCACACCGGCCCCUCCCACGCUGAGAGAGGUCAGCCCGAGCCCCUUGCCUCACACCGGCCCCUCCCACGCUGAGAGAGGUGUGAGCCCCUUGUCUCACACCGGCCCCUCCCACGCGGACAGAGGUCAGCGUGAGCCCCUUGCCUCACCCCGGCCCCUCCCACGCUGAGAGAGGUCAGUGUGAGCCCUUGCCUCACACCGGCCCCUCCCACGCGGACAGAGGUC